rnacentral:tRNA from 2 species
GGGCGAGUGGUGGAACGGUAGACACGCAGGCUUCAGGUGUCUGUGCUCGCAAGAGUGUGGGGGUUCAAAUCCCCCCUCGCCCA